rnacentral:lncRNA from 1 species
ACAUGAAAAUCUGCUGCCCCCUACAAACGAGUAGUUCGAGAAACUCGAGUCUCAGAACUACAACUCCCAGAAUGCCACUGAACUAACUUCCUUUGGGGCCCUCACGUCCUAGUACAGGAAGUCCUAGAACUCGCUGUGUCGGCGUCUCCUCGGUUAUCGGGCAGAGACCGGGUGCUAAGGUCCAACUGCACAGACGGUGGAGCACUGAUAACUGACCCAUUGUCAGUAGCAUCUGAAGCCCACAAGCUGGAGGGAACUUGGUUAGGAGCCAGAUGGUUAGAAGGGGUUGAAGGACUUGUUUAUUCUAGGCUUUGGUCAAUUCAUCUUUAAAUGAUCGACACCAGACAGCCAUAUCAAUCGGCUUCAAGGAUCUGACUCAGAAUCCCACUGGAUGCUGCUCCAAUAGGCUCCUGGUCCACCCUCAGCUCAAGCUCACCAUCCUUCAAAUUGGGACUCUGUAGGAUAAUUCUGUUCCCAGCAGGAAAUAGUUUCAGAAGAUGAGAUCAUCACCCCAUACCUCAUACCCCAAAGGACUUUGGGCUCCGGUAAUGAUUGGUGGAGUGAAAGGAUUCCAGUAAAAUACUAUCCAGUGUCUGAAUGGGCCCCCAGUACAGAGCAAACUGACCCUCUGUUAAUCUCUGUAAUUAUGCCCUAGUAAUCAGCUCUGUACCCUUUUGGUGUCACCAUACUUUGGCUUCAGUUCAUCUCUGUAACACUCCUACCCCACAGGCCACUGUAUUUCACUUGAAGCUUCUGGACAUUACUUAACAACUUUCUGGAUUUGACCUCCAAAAUUUCAGCGUCAGUCUUGACUACCUCUCAUUUAGGACUCCAACCCAUUUUUCAAAAGAUUUCCUUAACAAAUUAAAAGAGUGGGGAAAUGAUGAGAUCCCGAGGAACUAAGUGGGGUUGGCAGAGACAGCCUGAAGUAUUGGUAAAAUUAUUCCCUGAAGCGAGCAGGCAACUAUUUAACUGAUGGGAAUCAGUUUAACUUUAUAGUCCCACCCUCUGUGGAGUUUGUAGGUAGCCCCACUUUGCUAUAUCCAGUCAGAAAUUCAAGUUAUAGCAAAUCCCUGAGAUUUCAAUUUCCCCUAUGAAUCUCUCUUUCCCAUACCAUCUUUGCUGAAUCUCUUCUGGGCUUACAACCUCCCCCAGCACUCUGCUUUGAUGUAUCUUUCCCUUCCCCUUUGCUUCAUGGUGUCUUUCCUCUCAUCCCCCCACCAUGCUUCAUGAUGUCUUUCUCCUUAUAGCUAACUCUUUUAGGAUGUUAAACUCCUCUGGAUUUAACCUGUCAGUUAAGGGUAUACUCCCACCACAGAGUGUUCCCUUUUUCAUAGUUAAAUUGUGAAUUCCAUUCGGUUACUUGUCGUUUCCAUUGUUGAUUGUUAAAACCCCCUUUCUCUGCUGUGUGUUCUCCCGACUCAAUUUCAUGUUUACCAUCCCUAGUGUCUAUUGUAUCUCUUCGUUUUGUCUGUAGCCUCUUAUCCUAAAUAAACCUACCUUUUGCCAAAGA